UCCCUAGUAGCUCAGACGGUAAGAGCACCCGCCUGCAAUGCAGGAGACCCAGGUUCAAUCCCUGGGUUGGGAA